rnacentral:rRNA from 1 species
UACGGAGGUGGCGAGCGUUGUCCGAAGUUACUGGGCGUAAAGCGCGCGUAGGCGGGGGAUUAAGUGAGAAGUGAAAGGCUGGGGCUCAACUCCAUGCAGUGCUUCUCAUACUGGUCUUCUUGAGGGGGGUAGAGAGAAGUGGAAUGGCUGGUGUAGCGGUGAAAUGCGUAGAGAUCGGGAGGAACAUCAGUGGCGAAGGCGGCCAUCUGGGACAACACUGACGCUGAAGCACGAAAGCGUGGGGAGCAAACAGG